GGUCGCGUUCGGCCGGAUUUUACACAAGUGUUGCAUGGCUGUCGUCAGCUCCGUGUCGUGAGAUGUUGGGUUAAGUCCCGCAACGAGCGCAACCCUCAUCCUUAGUUGCCACCAGGUAAUGCUGAGUACUUUAAGGAAACUGCCAGUGAUAAGCUGGAGGAAGGUGGGGAUGAUGUCAAGUCAUCAUGGCCUUUAUGGAGUGGGCUACACACGUGCUACAAUGGUGUCUACAAUGGGUUGCAAGGUGCGCAAGCCUAAGCUAAUCCCUAAAAGACAUCUCAGUUCGGAUUGUACUCUGCAACUCGAGUACAUGAAGUUGGAAUCGCUAGUAAUCGUGGAUCAGCAUGCCACGGUGAAUACGUUCUCGGGUCUUGUACACACUGCCCGUCACGCCAUGG
rnacentral:rRNA from 1 species